UGACUGAGUAAAUAUAUUUCUAAACAUUUUUUCCUCUCAUUCAAGGGCGGUCUCACGAAAUCAGCACAGCCUUGUUUCUUUAAAAAGUGCUAAUUCUAUGCUGGAUCCAACUGAUUUGAAAAGAGAAUCUCUCUAUUCAGUGCAAAGGUCUCACAAGAGCAAUAUUACUGAUUUAAGAGUCAAUUCCAAAUCAGCCAUGGUGUGCCAACAAGAAUAUAAAUCAAGACUGAAAGUAAAAUUUCAGUACAUUCACAUCAUGAUAUCCCAUUAUCAGGAUAUCAAGUUUGUGUAUCCGCUACCAUUCCGAGAGCUGAACCUGAUGAAAGGGAAACAGUUCAGCUUGAUU
rnacentral:lncRNA from 1 species